rnacentral:rRNA from 1 species
UACGGAGGGUGCGAGCGUUGUCCGGAAUCAUUGGGCGUAAAGGGCGCGUAGGUGGCGGGAUAAGCGUGCGGUGAAAGCUCGGGGCUCAACCCCGAGUCGGCCGUGCGAACUAUUCUGCUUGAGCACUGUAGAGGCAGGCGGAAUUCCGGGUGUAGCGGUGGAAUGCGUAGAGAUCCGGAAGAACACCGGUGGCGAAGGCGGCCUGCUGGGCAGUAGCUGACACUGAGGCGCGACAGCGUGGGGAGCAACCGG